rnacentral:rRNA from 1 species
AUACGUAGGUGGCGAGCGUUGUCCGGAAUUACUGGGUGUAAAGGGCGUGUAGGCGGGGGCAUAAGUCAGAUGUGAAAAUCCAAGGCUUAACCUUGGGGCUGCAUCUGAAACUAUGUUUCUUGAGUGCUGGAGAGGAAAGCGGAAUUCCCAGUGUAGCGGUGAAAUGCGUAGAGAUUGGGAGGAACACCAGUGGCGAAGGCGGCUUUCUGGACAGUAACUGACGCUGAGGCGCGAAAGCGUGGGGAGCAAACAGGAUUAGAUACCCUGGUAGUCCACGCUGUAAACGAUGGAUACUAGGUGUAGGAGGUAUCGACCCUUUCUGUGCCGGAGUUAACACAAUAAGUAUCCCACCUGGGGAGUACGGCCGCAAGGUUGAA